ACUGUGGAGUGUACAAGAACUUGUGAGUAGCGUAUUGCAAAAGCAUACACGUUGAAGCAGUAA
ncrna:unclassified sequences RAGATH-18 RNA